rnacentral:rRNA from 1 species
AUGGACGAAAGUCUGACGGAGCAACGCCGCGUGAGUGAUGAAGGUUUUCGGAUCGUAAAGCUCUGUUGUUAGGGAAGAACAAGUGCCGUUCGAAUAGGUCGGCACCUUGACGGUACCUAACCAGAAAGCCACGGCUAACUACGUGCCAGCAGCCGCGGUAAUACGUAGGUGGCAAGCGUUGUCCGGAAUUAUUGGGCGUAAAGCGCGCGCAGGCGGUCUUUUAAGUCUGAUGUGAAAUCUCGGGGCUCAACCCCGAGCGGUCAUUGGAAACUGGGAGACUUGAGUACAGAAGAGGAGAGUGGAAUUCCACGUGUAGCGGUGAAAUGCGUAGAUAUGUGGAGGAACACCAGUGGCGAAGGCGACUCUCUGGUCUGUAACUGACGCUGAGGCGCGAAAGCGUGGGGAGCAAACAGGAUUAGAUACCC